rnacentral:rRNA from 1 species
UAGGGAAUCUUCGGCAAUGGGGGCAACCCUGACCGAGCAACGCCGCGUGAGUGAAGAAGGUUUUCGGAUCGUAAAGCUCUGUUGUAAGAGAAGAACGAGUGUGAGAGUGGAAAGUUCACACUGUGGCGGUAACUUACCAGAAAGGGACGGCUAACUACGUGCCAGCAGCCGCGGUAAUACGUAGGUCCCGAGCGUUAUCCGGAUUUAUUGGGCGUAAAGCGAGCGCAGGCGGUUAGAUAAGUCUGAAGUUAAAGGCUGUGGCUUAACCAUAGUACGCUUUGGAAACUGUUUAACUUGAGUGCAGAAGGGGAGAGUGGAAUUCCAUGUGUAGCGGUGAAAUGCGUAGAUAUAUGGAGGAACACCGGUGGCGAAAGCGGCUCUCUGGUCUGUAACUGACGCUGAGGCUCGAAAGCGUGGGGAGCAAACAGGAUUAGAUACCCUGGUAGUCCACGCCGUAAACGAUGAGUGCUAGGUGUUGGGUCCUUUCCGGGACUCAGUGCCGCAGCUAACGCAUUAAGCACUCCGCCUGGAGAGUACGACCGCAAGGUUG